rnacentral:rRNA from 1 species
GAGUUUGAUCAUGGCUCAGGAUGAACGCUAGCGGCAGGCUUAACACAUGCAAGUCGAGGGGUAUAGUUCUUCGGAAUUAGAGACCGGCGCACGGGUGCGUAACGCGUAUGCAAUCUACCUUUCACAGAGGGAUAGCCCAGAGAAAUUUGGAUUAAUACCUCAUAGUAUAACGAUUCCGCAUGGAGAUGUUAUUAAAGUCACAACGGUGAAAGAUGAGCAUGCGUCCCAUUAGCUAGUUGGUAAGGUAACGGCUUACCAAGGCUACGAUGGGUAGGGGUCCUGAGAGGGAGAUCCCCCACACUGGUACUGAGACACGGACCAGACUCCUACGGGAGGCAGCAGUGAGGAAUAUUGGACAAUGGGCGCAAGCCUGAUCCAGCCAUGCCGCGUGCAGGAUGACGGUCCUAUGGAUUGUAAACUGCUUUUGCACAGGAAGAAACAACGCUACGUGUAGCGCCUUGACGGUACUGUGAGAAUAAGGAUCGGCUAACUCCGUGCCAGCAGCCGCGGUAAUACGGAGGAUCCAAGCGUUAUCCGGAAUCAUUGGGUUUAAAGGGUCCGUAGGCGGUUUAGUAAGUCAGUGGUGAAAGCCCAUCGCUCAACGGUGGAACGGCCAUUGAUUCUGCUAGACUUGAAUUA